rnacentral:rRNA from 1 species
CCUACGGGAGGCAGCAGUGGGGAAUAUUGGGCAAUGGAGGAAACUCUGACCCAGCAACGCCGCGUGAAUGAUGAAGGUCUUCGGAUUGUAAAGUUCUUUUCUAAGGGAAGAAGAAAGUGACGGUACCUUAGGAAUAAGCCUCGGCUAACUACGUGCCAGCAGCCGCGGUAAUACGUAGGAGGCGAGCGUUAUCCGGAGUGACUGGGCGUAAAGGGUGCGUAGGUGGUAUGGCAAGUUAGUAGCGUAACUUAAAGGCUCAACCUUGGAACUACUACUGAAACUGUUGGACUUGAGUGCAGGAGAGGCAACCGGAAUUCCUGGUGUAGCGGUGGAAUGCGUAGAUAUUAGGAGGAACACCAGUGGCGAAGGCGGGUUGCUGGACUGUAACUGACACUGAGGCACGAAAGCGUGGGGAGCAAACAGGAUUAGAUACCCUUGUAGUC